UACGGAAGGCAGCAGUGGGGAAUAUUGCACAAUGGGCGCAAGCCUGAUGCAGCCAUGCCGCGUGUAUGAAGAAGGCCUUCGGGUUGUAAAGUACUUUCAGCGGGGAGGAAGGCGAUGCGGUUAAUAACCGCGUCGAUUGACGUUACCCGCAGAAGAAGCACCGGCUAACUCCGUGCCAGCAGCCGCGGUAAUACGGAGGGUGCAAGCGUUAAUCGGAAUUACUGGGCGUAAAGCGCACGCAGGCGGUCUGUUAAGUCAGAUGUGAAAUCCCCGGGCUUAACCUGGGAACUGCAUUUUGAAACUGGCAGGCUUGAGUCUUGUAGAGGGGGUAGAAUUCCAGGUGUAGCGGUGAAAUGCGUAGAGAUCUGGAGGAAUACCGGUGGCGAAGGCGGCCCCUGGACAAAGCUGACGCUCAGGUGCGAAAGCGUGGGGAGCAAACGAGGAUUAGAUACC
rnacentral:rRNA from 1 species